CAGCCGCCGCGGUAAUUCGUAGGUGGCAAGCGUUGUCCGGAAUUAUUGGGCGUAAAGCGCGCGCAGGCGGCCUAUCCAGUCUGUCUUAAAAGUUCGGGGCUCAACCCCGUGAUGGGAUGGAAACUAGUAGGCUAGAGUAUCGGAGAGGAAAGCGGAAUUCCUAGUGUAGCGGUGAAAUGCGUAGAUAUUAGGAAGAACACCAGUGGCGAAGGCGGCUUUCUGGACGAAAACUGACGCUGAGGCGCGAAAGCCAGGGGAGCGAACGGGAUUAGAUACCCCUGUAGUCCCUGUCUCUUAUACC
rnacentral:rRNA from 1 species